rnacentral:rRNA from 1 species
CAAAAUCAGCUAUGGAGGCAUUGCCUGCCCAGUGACAACUGUUUAACGGCCGCGGUAUCCUGACCGUGCAAAGGUAGCAUAAUCAUUUGUUCUCUAAAUAAGGACUUGUAUGAAUGGCCGCACGAGGGUUUUACUGUCUCUUACUUCCAAUCAGUGAAAUUGACCUUCCCGUGAAGAGGCGGGAAUGCACAAAUAAGACGAGAAGACCCUAUGGAGCUUUAACUAACCAACCCAAAGAGAAUAGAUUUAACCAUUAAGGAAUAACAACAAUCUCCAUGAGUUGGUAGUUUCGGUUGGGGUGACCUCGGAGAAUAAAAAAUCCUCCGAGCGAUUUUAAAGACUAGACCCACAAGUCAAAUCACUCUAUCGCUCAUUGAUCCAAAAACUUGAUCAACGGAACAAGUUACCCUAGGGAUAACAGCGCAAUCCUAUUCAAGAGUCCAUAUCGACAAUAGGGUUUACGACCUCGAUGUUGGAUCAGGACAUCCUGAUGGUGCAACCGCUAUCAAAGGUUCGUUUGUUCAACGAUUAAAGUCCUACGUGAUCUGAGUUCAGACCGGA